rnacentral:tRNA from 1 species
GCUCCUGUAGUCUAACUUGGACAGAACGCAGGCCUGCGGAGCCUGAUAUCUGGAUUCAAAUUCCAGCAGGGGCA